GGAAGUAAAAGUCGUAACAGGGUUUCCGUAGGUGAACCUGCGGAAGGAUCAUUACAGAGUUCAUGCCCUCACGGGUAGAUCUCCCACCCUUGAAUAUUUAUACCUUAGUUGCUUUGGCAGGCCGUGGAAACACCAUGGGCUCCGGCUUAUGCGUGCCUGCCAGAGGAGACAAACUCUGUUUUUAGUGAUGUCUGAGUACUAUAUAAUAGUUAAAACUUUCAACAACGGAUCUCUUGGUUCUG
rnacentral:misc_RNA from 1 species